rnacentral:rRNA from 16 species
GGAUGCGAUCAUACCAGCACUAAAGCACCGGAUCCCAUCAGAACUCCGAAGUUAAGCGUGCUUGGGCGAGAGUAGUACUAGGAUGGGUGACCUCCAGGGAAGUCCUCCUGUUGCAUUCC